GACGAACGCUGGCGGCGUGCUUAACACAUGCAAGUCGAGCGGAGCGGCGAAAGGGUGAGUAACGCGUGAGUAACUGCCCCCCUCUCUGGGAUAACAGAUGGAAACGGCUGCUAAUACCGGAUAGUGGGGGAUGACUCGCGUCCUAUUAGCUUGGUGGUGGGGUAGUGGCCUACCAAGGCGACGACGGGUAGCCGGCCUGAGAGGGUGACCGGCCACAAUGGGCUGAGAUACAGCGCAAACUCGUACCGGGGGCAGCAGUGAGGAAUAUUGCACUAGUGGUGAAACCCUGAUGCAGCAACGCGCGUGCGGGAUGACGGCCUUCGGGUUGUAAACCGCUUUCGGCCAUAACGCGGUAGUGGCAGAAGAAGCACCGGCUAACUACGUGCCAGCAGCCGCGGUAAUUC
rnacentral:rRNA from 1 species